AUCGAACGCUGGCGGCAGGCCUAACACAUGCAAGUCGAACGAGUGGCGGACGGGUGAGUAAUGUCUGGGAAACUGCCCGAUGGAGGGGGAUAACUACUGGAAACGGUAGCUAAUACCGCAUACCAUCGGAUGUGCCCAGAUGGGCUUAGCUAGUCGGUGGGGUAACGGCUCACCUAGGCGACGAUCCCUAGCUGGUCUGAGAGGAUGACCAGACACACUGGAACAGAGACACGGUCCAGACUCCUACGGGCGGCAGCGGGGGGGAAGAGUGCACAAUGGACGCAAGCCUGAUGCAGCCAUGCAGCGUGGAUGAAGGAGGCAUGCGGGUUUUAAAGUGCUUUCAGCGUUGAGGCGUUAGUCGCAGAAGAAGCGCCGGCUAACUCCGUGCCAGCAGCCGCGGUAAUAC
rnacentral:rRNA from 1 species